rnacentral:tRNA from 1 species
GCGGCGGACCGGAGGGUAAAGCGCCUCGGAGGCGCCACAGCCUGAUAAUCUGUUGGUUCGCUUUUGCGAAUGAGGUUCGACUCCUCUGCUCUCCGCCGCG